rnacentral:rRNA from 1 species
UACGUAGGGUGCAAGCGUUGUCCGGAAUUAUUGGGCGUAAAGAGCUCGUAGGCGGUUUGUCGCGUCGAAUGUGAAAUCCCGGGGCUCAACCCCGGGCCUGCAUUCGAUACGGGCAGACUAGAGUUCGGUAGGGGAGUCUGGAAUUCCUGGUGUAGCGGUGAAAUGCGCAGAUAUCAGGAGGAACACCGGUGGCGAAGGCGGGUCUCUGGGCCGAUACUGACGCUGAGGAGCGAAAGCGUGGGGAGCAAACAGG